GAAUGGAAGAAUUGCAUGGACUUGGACUAGCAAGGGUUGUUAUCUACUUGGGACACUUAAAAGGUUACUGCGGGUGUUGAAUGCGGUUUUCGGAGUUAGUGUGGAAUUGUCAGAUACCCCAAAGAGUCAGGCAAUGCCUUCGGCUUUUGCUCAGAGAUCCAUUACAGAUUCAGGCUUGGUAUGAAAGAGAGCCAUUGUUGGAAGGGAAAAUGGGCAAGAACCGUUCGACUAAGAUGCAGUGGACUACUUUUUAUUCUGAUCACAACAAGUGUUGGAGACCUCCUAGAUCGGAUUGGAUUAAGUUAAAUUCGGAUGGCUUUGUUAAUUUAGUAGCAGGA
rnacentral:lncRNA from 1 species